rnacentral:rRNA from 1 species
AGUCGAGCGGACAGAUGGGAGCUUGCUCCCUGAUGUUAGCGGCGGACGGGUGAGUAACACGUGGGUAACCUGCCUGUAAGACUGGGAUAACUCCGGGAAACCGGGGCUAAUACCGGAUGGUUGUUUGAACCGCAUGGUUCAAACAUAAAAGGUGGCUUCGGCUACCACUUACAGAUGGACCCGCGGCGCAUUAGCUAGUUGGUGAGGUAAUGGCUCACCAAGGCAACGAUGCGUAGCCGACCUGAGAGGGUGAUCGGCCACACUGGGACUGAGACACGGCCCAGACUCCUACGGGAGGCAGCAGUAGGGAAUCUUCCGCAAUGGACGAAAGUCUGACGGAGCAACGCCGCGUGAGUGAUGAAGGUUUUCGGAUCGUAAAGCUCUGUUGUUAGGGAAGAACAAGUACCGUUCGAAUAGGGCGGUACCUUGACGGUACCUAACCAGAAAGCCACGGCUAACUACGUGCCAGCAGCCGCGGUAAUACGUAGGUGGCAAGCGUUGUCCGGAAUUAUUGGGCGUAAAGGGCUCGCAGGCGGUUUCUUAAGUCUGAUGUGAAAGCCCCCGGCUCAACCGGGGAGGGUCAUUGGAAACUGGGGAACUUGAGUGCAGAAGAGGAGAGUGGAAUUCCACGUGUAGCGGUGAAAUGCGUAGAGAUGUGGAGGAACACCAGUGGCGAAGGCGACUCUCUGGUCUGUAACUGACGCUGAGGAGCGAAAGCGUGGGGAGCGAACAGGAUUAGAUACCCUGGUAGUCCACGCCGUAAACGAUGAGUGCUAAGUGUUAGGGGGUUUCCGCCCCUUAGUGCUGCAGCUAACGCAUUAAGCACUCCGCCUGGGGAGUACGGUCGCAAGACUGAAACUCAAAGGAAUUGACGGGGGCCCGCACAAGCGGUGGAGCAUGUGGUUUAAUUCGAAAGCAACGCGAAGAACCUUACCAGGUCUUGAC